AACGCAUAUUGCGCUCGAGGCUUCGGCCAAGAGCAUGUCUGCCUCAGCGUCGGGUUAACAUCACUCUCCCACUCACCUGGUGUGAGUGAGCAGCAGUGGAUCUGGCUUUCCCAGUGCUUUCAGUAGUGCUGGGUUGGCUGAAGAGCAGAGGUUGAUGCAUGGACCCGCUUAUGGGCCGCAGUUGGGUAGGCAGCUUCUUGCUUGCUAUCAAUGCUUAACUGUUGGCCUGGGACCGCGCUUGUCGACCCUGAAACCAGGAAUGCGCCCUCGGGCGCAUGCUUACCAUGUUCUCGACUGAGCUCAGGCAAGAUUACCCGCUGAACUUAA
rnacentral:misc_RNA from 1 species